rnacentral:lncRNA from 1 species
AACCUGUUCAGUCCUUGCACUGUUGUAAGACUGAUUCCUGUGAAGAAACAGGCUGCUAAAAAGAGAACUGGUGAGCUCAAAGAAAGAUACCCACUUCUACCAUGUUCUAGGAAGACCUCUAUGUCAACAGUACAAAUAUAAGCAUGAUGCCAGAUGUUCUGAAAAUUUCCUUGGGUCCCUCUUUCUGAGAGUUCGGGAGUGAAAGGAGCUGAUUUGGUUUAAAGGUUCUCUGAAGAUUAAUAUUAUCCCUCAUUUGCAGAACCAUUAAAAACUUGUAAUCAAGCAAAUGAGAACGUAAAUCUGUACAUUUUGGACAGAUUUUCUACAAUCAUUCCCAAACAUAAUUUUUUAAGUGAUAGGAUCACAUUUCAUCUGAAUAUCAAGAAGUUGAAAUCUACAGCUGAAUGCAUCUCUUGUCAGAUAGUCCAUAUCUGAGAAAGGAGAUGAGAAGUAGCUUCUUGUGGAUUGCAGAUUGCAGAGUACUAACCCCAUAAGCAGAUUGCAGAGUACUUACUGAAAGAUUCAAGUUAAUGUUGACAGAAAUGAGAAAACCCAAGACAACCUACAUGAAUGAAACGUGAACUGAAAUAAAUAUUAACAGUGAUAUCAUCAAUAGGAAUCAAGCUUCUCCAGGAAGGAUACUCCAACAAACUAGAUUUCAUAUCACUUCUGACACUUGAUGUACUGCCUCCAAAAGGCAGUAUUCAUGGAAAUACAAGCUAUCUUUCUUACCAUGGGAAUGUUCCCUAAGUAUCUGCAUCAAUAUCUGUAAACUUUUGAGACCUGGAGAAAUAAAUACAGCAGUGUUGUAUUCUGACUUCUGCUUCAGUGAAGAUCUAACUGAAUUUCUUGAGGAGAUGAUUUUUAUGGACUACCAAAGGAGGCAGGCAUCCUGAAAUUACCUUAAGUCUUACAGAACAAUUGGGUGAUGCAAGUACAUUUAAGCAGUAUGUACUGUUGUAUGUAUUGAUGUAAUUCCAGGGCAGUCAAUUGAAUAAUUUAUCCUAGGGAAAAGUAAGACAGCAAUUUUUUCCACCUCCUCAUCCUGGAUACUCCUGUCAUAGUCACUAAACUGAGACUUGUGGUUACAGUGACAGAGGGGGAAAAAGUGCUGUACUUUCAAGGAUCAAAUUUCUGUUGAUGUCACUGAAACAAGGACAGUUUCAUUCACUGGAAGACUAUAAGAUUUUUCCUCUAUGUUAUAGGUAAAUAUGAGGUGCUCCAAAAGUAAUGCCUCCUAUUUUGUUAUGUUGUCCUGUGACAUCAAAAUGGGUGUUGGUGGCAUGGCAGUAGGGGUUGAACCUUCCCACCAAUAUUUCAUUAUUUUUUGUUGUCGUGAGACAGAUGGCAGCUGAAAAUUUGCUCUAUCAAAUAGUGUUAUUGUGCUUUUUUUGUGUGUGUAUAGUUACCAUGGUAAUAAAUAGAAAGCAUUACUUUUGGAGCAUCCUACGUAGAUUCUUCUGUUUUGGUUCUGGAUAUCCUUAUUUUUUGCUAGCAUGAUAUCUGCUCUGUGUUAGAAUCAAAGAACCACAGAAUCACCACAGUUGGAAAAGACCUCCAAGAACAUUCAGUCCAACCAUCCACCUACCAACCAUAGCUGCCCACUAAACCAUGUCCCUUAGUACAGCAUCUAAACAUGCGAUGGUAGUCCCAUAUAGAAGGGACUACCUCUCUUUUAUCUCAUAGGCACUAUGUCAACAUAACCUUCAGGAAAAUAACAAUAACUUUCUUAUCCCAAAUUCUAAUUACAAAAUGUAAUGACUGUAGGUGGAUAACGAUGGCUAAACAGGGACCAAUAUACAACACCGAGGAAACAGUAUUUUGAAAUGAGAAAUUAGUCUUCUGCUAUGAGGAAAAUAAAUCAGUCAUUCUAUAUUCAAUAUGGGAACUUCUGAGAACUUGAUCUUUGCUUUUCUAUAGCAAAGAAGAAAAAUGCACUGAAAUUUCAGUCUGCUUUUAUUUUCUAUGUUUUUGAGCAAAAAAAAAAAAAAAAAUUGGAACGUGAACCACUGAGUCUCAUACCACUGUCUUGGUAUGUUGUGGUUAUGGCAUGUGGGUUAUUUUUUUCUGAAAAUGAUAUAAAAUACUUGAUGUUCCUCUGUAUUUUAUUCUGAAUAAUCUUUUCUGAAUGGAACUUUGUCCUAAUACAAGUGCCACUAAAAUAAAGGUUAACCUCACUGACUGUAUCUAACUUCAGUGGAAAAGUUUUUAUAAAUUACCUUAUUGUUUCACAGGCCUUGGAGAGUGCUGUUGUGGAUGGCAAUGAGUGUGACUCAUCUGGCUAUAGAGCUGGAAAUGGAAAUGUAAUAUUAAAGAAAAUAAAUAACAAGACUGAAAAGAGAAUUAAAUGAGGAAAUGAGGCAUGAAUGCGUGAGACAGAGGUUAGUCUACUGCAUUUCUACCCUGGUUGUUUGUUUGUUUUGCCUUACCUGAUGUUCCAGGCAGCAUUAUACAGCAACUUUGCCCCACAUUCUUCCCUCCCUUCCUUUCUCGGGACUGUUUGCCCUUACUGUGUUCUGCCUGCUUCGCUGGAGGACUGUGUCUGUAUCGUGGCUGCAUUCAUUCAAGCUGGAAAUCAGAAGAAGGUAAAUACUGAAGAGACACUGCAGGAAACUGUCUUUCCAAGGAGCUGAACUUUCUGCUCACUCAUUGCUCAUGGAGAGCUCUGCUGACUCCUAUCACAACCCCCACUGGCAGCUGUUCCCCAGAGUUCCAGACACCUCUCCGGAAGAGAAGAAGAACUACAUACCGCAGGGGGCUUUGUGUUCAGAGAGGAGAUAUAACCCCUGGCAAGGUCACCUGAUGUCCCUUUUUUUUCCUUCGGCUCUCCUCCCUGCUGCUCGACCCAACUGCGCAUCUCACCCCAGCAUUAUGACUUCCCAUGUUCAACAAGCCGUGGACAAAUUCUUCUAUCUAGUUCAGAACUCUCCAUCUAUUUUAGCAAAGCUGGUUAUGCUCUAUUCUUGAAGUGCCAUGAUGAUAAGGACCUCCACUGAGAAUGCUUUUAAUUUGAAUUCUGACAGAUUUCUUUUCCAGAUUUUUGUCUGUAAUGCUAAGAUAUAUUUUCAUAUAUUCUGAGGUAAAUAGUGUGAAAUAAUAGGAUUUUUGUUUGCUUCCAUCCUCAAAUCCUCAACUGUAUGAUCAAUAUGCAAGAGGUAUCAGUUUGCAAAUAUAAAGUUACCCAGUUUCAUAAUUCUACAUUCUAGCAUCUUUUUUUAAUUCUCUCCCUUCUAGUUUGCCACUUUUCAUCUGCAAAUACAUCCAAAUGAUGAAACAAGUCCUCACUAUAAAGAUUUUCUUUCUGCCUUUAAACACUAUGCUCACUCACCUUUGUAAUGCUGUAAUGGUCAUCUAAUAUAACAGAAAAUUCUUGAUGGGUGUAAUUCCUUUUCAUGAAUAAAUUACAAAUGGCAGUAAAAUGAGCUUUGCCUUUCUCAAGAUAUUAUGUGAUUCAGACUCAAACUUAUGAUUUAAAUUAAAGGAAAUAUCUCUUAAUAUCAUAAUAAUUGAUUUCAAAUCAAAUUUUUAAAUUUCAAAUUCUGAUUUCAGUAUCCUCCUCAAAGUAUAUAGAAGGAUUAUGUAGUCA